rnacentral:misc_RNA from 1 species
GAUGAAGAACGCAGCGAAAUGCGAUACUUGGUGUGAAUUGCAGAAUCCCGUGAACCAUCGAGUCUUUGAACGCAAGUUGCGCCCGAAGCCACUAGGCCGAGGGCACGCCUGCCUGGGCGUCACACGCCGUUGCCCCCCCAUCUACUCCUUCGGGAUUGCGGGGGGGCGGAUGAUGGCCUCCUGUGCGCCUAGCCGCGCGGUUGGCAUAAAUACCAAGUCCACGGCGACGCACGCCACGACAAUCGGUGGUUGCGAAACCUCGGUUGCCCGUCGUGUGCGUUCGUCGCGCAUCGAGGGCUCGAAAAAAUGCUCGGCUCCGGCUGGGCUUUCAACGCGACCCCAGGUCAGGCGGGGUUACCCGCUGAAUUUAAGCAUAUCAAUAAGCGGAGGA